GAGCACGUAGGUGGGUUUGUAAGUCAGAUGUGAAAGCCUCCUGUUCAACGGGAGAAUUGCAUCUGAAACUGCAGAUCUUGAGUGUAGGAGGGGAGAAUGGAACUUCUGGUGGAGCGGUGAAAUGCGUAGAUAUCAGAAGGAGCGCCGGCGGCGAAAGCGAUUCUCUGGCCUAUUACUGACACUCAGUGUGCGAAAGCUAGGGGAGCAAACGGGAUUAGAUACCCCGGUAGUCCUAGCCGUAAACGAUGGGCACUAAGUAGAGGGAAUUACCGAUAUUCUCUCUGCCGUAGCUAACGCAUUAAGUGCCCCGCCUGGGGAGUACGGCCGCAAGGCUAAAACUCAAAAGAAUUGACGGGGGCUCGCACAAGCGGUGGAGCAUGUGGCUUAAUUCGAUGCAACGCGAAAAACCUUACCGGGGCUUGACAUGGUAGAAGUAGGAACCCGAAAGGGUAACGAACGGUAUCCAGUCCGUAACUAUUACAGGUGUUGCAUGGCUGUCGUCAGCUCGUGUCGUGAGACGUUGGGUUAAGUCCCCUAACGAGCGAAACCCUUGUUUUUAGUUGCCAGCGGGUUAUGCCGGGCACUCUAGAAAGACUGCCGUCGUCAAGACGGAGGAAGGUGGGGAUGACGUCAAGUCAUCAUGGCCCUUAUGCCCCGGGCUGCACACGUGCUACAAUGGUCGGUACAAACGGAAGCGAAGCCGAGAGGUGAAGCGAAUCC
rnacentral:rRNA from 1 species